rnacentral:rRNA from 1 species
CCUACGGGAGGCAGCAGUGGGGAAUAUUGGACAAUGGGGGAAACCCUGAUCCAGCGACGCCGCGUGAGUGAAGAAGUAUUUCGGUACGUAAAGCUCUAUCAGCAGGAAAGAAAAUGACGGUACCUGACUAAGAAGCCCCGGCUAACUACGUGCCAGCAGCCGCGGUAAUACGUAGGGGGCAAGCGUUAUCCGGAUUUACUGAGGGUAAAGGGAGCGUAGACGGCAGCGCAAGUCUGUAGUGAAAUGCCGGGGCCCAACGCCGGAACUGCUCUGGAAACUGGGAGGCUGGAGUGCAGGAGAGGUAGGCGGGAGUCGGGGUGGAGGGGGGAAAUGAGUAGAGAUUAGGAGGAACACCGGGGGCGAAGGCGGCUUACUGGACUGUAACUGACGUUGAGGCUCGAAGGCGUGGGGAGCAAACAGGAUUAGAUACCCCAGUAGUC